rnacentral:lncRNA from 1 species
ACUAAUUAAAGUAAUUCAAAAAGGAUAAGAUAUUACUUAAUUACAUAUAUUAAAUGGAGGAAGUUGGCCAAAAGAAAAAGUAAAGAAACUAAUUUUAUAUUUUUAAAAUUUAUACUUUUCAAAAAAAAAAAAAAAAAAAAAAAAAAAAACAACAUGCACACUUCUCCCGACGAAAUUUCGUCGGCAAAGAUCUAUGCCGACAAAAUUCGCCGGAUUAGGUUUCUCCCGACGAAAAUAUCUUUGCCGACGAAAGUUUCGUCGCGAAAGGUCUAAUUUUUGAAAAAUAAAUAUAAACUUAGGAUGUUUAGGUUAAUUAAUUUUUAAAAAUUUUAUUUUUAGUAACUACAUAAUGGGCAUUGGAGAUUUAAUUAGUUGAAUUAGAAAUUAUAUUUUAAUUAUUAUUUAUGCUACUUAAAGGGUGUAGCCUACCUUUUCAUGAAAAAAAAAAAAAAAAAACAACAUGCACACUUCUCCCGACGAAAUUUCGUCGGCAAAGAUCUCUGCCGACAAAAUUCGCCGGAUUAGGUUUCUCCCGACGAAAAUAUCUUUGCCGACGAAAUUUCGU